GUCAACAAUCCCGACUGGGAUUCCAACCCACCGAUCAAUCGACGGGCAAGAGAUCCUGUAGUUGACCAGACUAAGCCAGUUCGACUGGCUACGUUAGAUAGGCUAUCGCACCCUAGGGUGCUUGCCAGCUCUAGGCUCUGAGGUUUCAGAUUAAACAUCUGUAGAGGGAUUAAGGAAGUGUCUGAAACAGGACAAACCUAUCUAACCUUGUCGAGGCAAAAGUAAC
rfam:Lyngbya majuscula 3L genomic scaffold scf52035, whole genome shotgun sequence.